GCGCGAGUGGCGGAAUUGGCAGACGCGCCAGACUUAGGAUCUGGUGGUGAAAACCGUGGGGGUUCGAGUCCCCCCUCGCGCA
rnacentral:tRNA from 1 species